GCCCCGGUAGUACAGCCCGGUCUAGUAUAUCGGCCUGUCGAGCCGGUGACCCGGGUUCAAAUCCCGGCCGGGGCG
rnacentral:tRNA from 1 species